rnacentral:sRNA from 1 species
UAUACAGUUCUUUUACUGCUAGCUUUAAUUGUGUAAACUAACAAAGUCAUGAUGUUUCAUUUUGUAAUGUGUAUUGAUAAUUAUGGGAUAUUAAAACUAAAUCUGGUUUGGUAGAAAUCAGAGGUAUGACAGGUAUAAAUUUGUUUCCAGCAAAUUACUCUGAAUUAGAUUCAUUGUCAUUUCCUAAAAACAGUUUGAGUGGCUUAUUGAUGUUUUUUCUUUAAAAACAAAAUUUUCUCUUACAGCAAUUCUGGGGUCAGAAGCCAUGGAGUCAGCAUUAUCACCAAGGAUAUUAUUGAAUACCCAAAUAAAACGAACUGAUACAUAUUUCUCCAAAACCUUCACAAGAAGUCGACUGUUUUCUUUAGUAGGCUAACUUUUUAAACAUUCCACAAGAGGAAGUGCCUGCGGGUUCCUUUUUUAGAAGCUUUGUGGGUUGAUUUUUUUUCUUUUCUUUUUUGUACAUUUUUAAUUGCAGUUUAAAAGUGAAUCGUAAGAGAACCUCAGCAUUGUGCACGAUAAGAGAAUGUGUCAGUAUUUCAGGGUUCUACAUUUUAUCUGUAAAAUGUGACUUUUUUUUUUUUUUUUAUCACAACAGAAGUAAAAUGUUGCUUUGUACCUGGUGUCUUUUAUUAAGAAUUUACUCCCCCCAUUUCUCACAGAGAAUAACAGUCGGGAGUCAUUGUCACAAUAUAAUAGAAAUGUUAGCAACCAGAUUCAUGUAAGGACUAAGUGGUCCUCAUGAAUUGCAUUAAGACUCUGUACUGCUCAUAUUACACUCCAUCCUCUCUGUAGUUUGCUGGGUAGUGGAGGGGUUAAGCUAAAUCAUAGUUUCUGACAAUAACUGGGAAGGUUUUUUCUUAAAAUAACAAUGGAAUUGGUAUAAUUGGGAUUGAAAACUAAAACUUGGAACUAAGAUAGAGAAGAUGGAGUGUAUGUAGAAGGGCUGUUAAAAAUGUAAAACUUGGUUGCAUUAUUUGUGGAGGCUCAAACUUGUGAAGGUUAAUACCAUAAUUUUUCCAUUUGUUCUGCAUUUUGAUUCUGAAAAGAAAGCUGGCUUUGCCCAUUUCUUAUUAAAAAAACUUGUUGUAAAUCCAGUUGUCUAAUGGGAUCUAUAUGAAGUUAGCCAUGUCUGUAUGCCCUUCUCCCACAAAAUACUGUAUAACUAGUGUGCUUGUAGUAGUUAACUCCACCAUCUUUGUAAGCUAAUGAAAUUGUGAGUCACCCAUUUAUAUCUUAAUUUUUAAUCAUGUCAGUUCUUGAAUGGGUAUCUCCUUAGCCUGCUGAUUUCUUUUUCUUUCUAAAGAAAGUGGGUGGAGAAAUUAAUUUAGACGUUUGUUUGCAAUAAAAAGAAUUCAUUUUACUCUUGUUUUGGGAUUCUCGCCAUCAAGGUUCAAAAUCCCUUUAUAUAACUCCCAAGAGGAGAAAUUUAUUAAGUGUGUGCUUUCUGGACAGCUUAUUCUUUACUCUGCAUAGAACAUUUAGGUUUUAAAAACUUAAAUGUAUACUGACAAUUGAUACAUAAUUAUGAAGUAAAGUUGAAUUCUUCCCUUCCCCUCCCCCCCAGACAACUUUUAACAUAUUUAAUGAGGGGAAAAGGUACUGGCUGGGAGAAGUUAACACUGAGUUUAUCAUCUUUACAGAAUGCUAAUGCUGUCCUCAACUGAUUAUUUUAUAUACAUAUAUAUGAUACAUGAAACUCUGGGAACAGAUGCUUUUAGAAGCCAUCAUGCAAGCCAGUCAUUGAUGUCACUGCUACACAACACUGCUAACUUGACUGUAGCUAUGUAAUAACAUUAGAUCCCCUAAUUGUAAUUAUAUUGGGUUUGCACAGAACACUUUAAUCUUCCCCUCACCAAUGUGAAGUGAGGAAUCAGGAGUCAAACUGUAGAACUAAAAUUUGACUUCAGUCUAGCGUUUCCUUGGUGUUUUUAGGUUGCUUUGGUAAGUUUAGGUUUGCUAUAUUUCUGAUUGCUUAGAAUUUUGUUUUAGCCCUUUAAAAUCAGAUCAUAAAUAUGAAUUCAUACUUCUAAGGAAUUUUCUUGCUAUAAGCUGGAGUUUAGGUGAUGUAUAGGUUCAGUUGAGACAUUUUUGGAACAGGCAAAUCCUUAGUUAACAUAAGAUAUUUAACAGUUGAAGAUAGUGUCAUGGAUUUUUAUCUUUUUUAGCAAGUAAUGCUAAGAACCACUGGCCUGAGCUACUACUCUUCAGUAUACAUUAUUAGGAUUGCAUAGACUUACUAGAGGAACAGUUUCAGGUUUUGAUGCUAAUCAGUGUUGUGUCCUAAAGUUGUCCUUUGUGCCUUUAAAAAGUUUUGGAUAUACCCUCUAGUUUAAAAUUGCUUUAUUAAGGAAUUCAUUUUGUAAUUGCAGUGGGAAAGUAAUGGUCAAGUAACACUAGGUAGACUAUCAUGCCUGUUUAGCCCAGAGAAUUUGGGGGGAGAGAGAAUAGAUAAAAAUGGCACCCAGAAAAAUGUUAAAAUGUUUAGUCAAGACUAGAAUUAAUACAAUUGUCUACACUUGUAUGGCAGAAACAACCUUAUAAAGUGUUUAAGGAAUUCAGAGAAGGGAAUGUACCAAAUAGCAAGCAACAGGGAGAAAAUUAGGUAAGAAGUAAGAUACGAACGAGAAACCUGAUUUAUUGCUCAUCCUUCCCUUGCCUCCCUAAUGGCAAGCAAAAAUCUGAACAACUGAAAAGGAUGUAGUUCUGGACAAAUCCUGACUACCCAGAGGAAACUCACUGUGAGAUUGCUGUUGAUUUGAAGGGUGCUUUCACUAAGAGGUUAUAUUUUAAAGUAGAAUAACAUGCUGAGUGUAAACUGGCUUUGGAUUGGUCAGCUGCAGUAGUACAAAAACAGCAUAGAAUUUGAGAAAACUAAAACUGCUAUGAGAUAGCUAUGAGAAAACUAAAACGGCUAUGAGAUAGAAAUGAUGUAAAAUUAUGUGGAAAGUUUUCCCUCAUAUACUCACAUACAGCCUUUGAAGGGCUCUGGCUCUGACCGGUUGAUGGCCUUGAGCGAGAUGAAAUCAUGAAAUUGAGUCAAAUCAAUUUGACAUUGAAAUGACAAGAGGAAACUCUUAAAUAUAUAAAAACAAGCUCUCAUUUGCCUAGGAUAGAUACUGUCUUAAAAAUAAAGACUGAACCUAGAUGUUCUGAGCACUAGCAACAAGGUAUUUUAACAAGUUUAAAGGAAUUCUCUGAAAAAGUUAUAAAAUUAUUCUAGGAAACAUAACCAUAAUAGUGUUUUAAGGGACUUUCAUCUGGGGAUUUUAUAUUCAUGAACAGAGUGUAUUCUGUAUUUAAAAUGUCUCAUUUGUGGGAAUUGAAUGACAUGUUUUUUGAUAAAUUUAUUCACAAUAUAAAUUGACUUUUUAUUCUAGGACCAUGUGAAUAAUGGGUUCCAUUGCACAAAUACAAAUAUUUUAAUAGCUUCUUAGGCAGUGGUGUAGACAUCUUGGAUAUAAAUAAUUGUAGAUCUUGUAUAUUUGAUUUUUUAAGAACUAGAAUAAACAGAGAGGCAUAAACAUAUCUUAGAGUCCAAGUGGUAGUGUUUAGCAUUGGAUAUGAUAAAUGGAUGUUUUACAAAGUGUUUCCAUAAUUCUCUUCCUAUACAUAAAUAUAAAAUGUCUUGUUUUCAAAAGUGGAUGGAACUUGGCUGGGUGUGGUAGCUCACACCUGUAAUCCUAGCACUUUGGGAGGGCAAGGCGGGAGGAUCACUUGAGCUCAGGAGUUUGAGACCAUCCUGGGCAACAUAGUGAGACCUGGUCUCUUAAAAAAGAAAAAAAAAAGUGGAUGGAACUUGUAGCAGAGAACUUUAUCUACUUCUCAACCUGCUUCAGAAUACUCAUUUGAGAUGUUCCCCUGGAAAGAUGAACACAAUACUGCAUCUGAAGCCAUUUCUUCCCACCUAACAUUCUUAAAAUGAUUAGAGUCUAAACUUUGUCAUUCAUUCCUAAUUCUGGAGCUCUGAGGUUGAGGUAUUCAGAAUUUGGUGAAUAAUUGGGUUUAAGUUUUAACAUUUUAGUAAUAAAAGCAAACAUAUAUAUGUUAAGGCCUGAUAAUAGGUUGCAAUACCCAUGCAUUGGGACUCAUACCCAGCAUAAAUGGUGAGGGACUGAACAUUAGUGCUUUGAGCAAGAAUUGGUUAACUACCUGAGAUCUCUAAAACAGUAAUUUGAAUUACUAAUAUAUAAACCACAAGUCUCUUCGAAUUGUUAAUUGCCUAAAUUUACCCUAAAAUUUAGUUAACGCUGCAGUGCCUUUAUUAAAGCUUUUUUUUUGAGGGGGGCACAGCUACUCCAUAACUUUAAAUUUUAAAGCAUGAAGGUGAUCUAGCUAGUGUUAGUGCUUGAGUUGGUAGUUACAUAGGCUGCUCUUGAAUCGUCCUGUUUUCUUUGCCUAGUAUUAGCACUACAGGUACAUAUUUGUAAAAUAAGCAUUAAAAGUACUUUGUCCAGCUAACUCAUUUUGGAGUGACCUUUGUCUUACUAACCUUUGUUACUAAACUUGUUAAUUAGAAUAAGCCCUUGAGAAUUUGGAAGUGAGCUAUACUACUAAUGUAGUAUAUAUCUCUUGAGUGUGUUGGAGUAGAUGAAAAACCAGGGGUCCCCAAGAGUAUAUUUUUGAAAUUGAACAGAAACAAUUCAUCUUAAUAUUUAGUUUUCAUUAUGUUUAGCUUAAUAUGUGUGCUAAUUUGGCGUCACACUUAUGUCAAUCUCAACUCAUGCAGAAAUAGCACAGUCUCAGAAAAGAGGUUAGGUGGGAAAUAGAUGAUAUGCUUACAUUAUUGAGCAGGACUAUGCUUUCACACCCUAACCAAUUGACUAAAAAUAUAAAUGAUUGAAGUAAUUUUCAUUAGUUGCCCCAGGAGUCUUUAAUAAUAGUUUUAAGGGAUAGUAGAUUGGACAUAGGUAGAUGGGUUAUUCAUAAUGGAUAUUCAUAAUGUUAACCUAGAAUUAUUCAGAAAAUAUAACACCUAUGUAGUAGAAUCUAUUGAUUGUAAGCCUAGCGUUGGUAGGCAAACAUGUUGAUGAUGGGCCAGGACAUCAGUAAUCACUACUUGGUUAGGCAAGUAAUUAGGACAGGGAUUGUAAUCAUGUCAAUUUGUAGCUACCUAAUUUUUAUUGAUUAGGAUACUUUAUUUUUCAUGCCAGGAUUCAGCAUAUACUUAGGUCUUGAGCAGGGGGCUUUGCUUUUAAAGCUGAAUCCUGGGCAUAAGAAGCUAUGUACUGUAGUUGAAAGUGAAGUAAAUGUCAAUGUAGGCUAGUCUCUAGAGAAAUGUCUUCUAUAAAGAUUCAGGGUUUUUUUGCACCAUUAUGAUCACCAUACUGUGCCAAUGACAUAGUUACUCAUGAGCAUGUCCAGUCUGUCUACAUUAAUGAAGGAUAAUGCAGAGAUCACAGGCUGGAGAGUUAAUCUGACAGAGAAGUGCUGCACUAUUGGGGCAUAUUCUUUCCUGCUAUUCCUUUAACAGUUCCAUUCUGAACCUUACAGGAAGUAAAAUAAGUUAUGUCUGGUAAAAUAUACGUUGCAAACACUUAAAGCAUUGCCACAAAUUGGUGACAGCCAAGACAUUUAAAAAAAUUUUAAAACACCAAGAAUAGACGUGGCUAGUACAGACACCAGUUUAUAAGUGUGACAUUAAUGCUAUAAAAGUUAAAGCAUAUAUAGAGAUACCUAAAGAGUUAUUGGGGCUUAUUUAAAUGUCAACUAACAAAGAAGUUUUUUGAGGCAGCUUGUAUCCUGUAUCAGUUGUUUGUAGUUAAAGAUUGGGAGAGUCAUGGUCACGUACAAGAAAAAAAGAUUCCAACAUAACUUUUUUUUUUCUUGAAAAGUAAAGCAAACAAAUGUGUUGAUUUACAUUUCAUCUCCUUUUCCUUAGUCUGUCCAUGUGAAUGUGCUGUGUGGAAGAGUUAAAGGGCCCAACUAAAUGUUCCAGUGAUUCCAAUAGGUAUUCCAAAUUAAUUGCUGCUUGUACAUUUAAUAGUUAUGUUAGGCUUCCAGAAUCACUUUAAAUAGGACUCUUUUUAAAAGAUGGGGGAAGAGAGUAAUUGGUAACCAGAUGGACAGAGUCUCUAUAACAGAAAAAAAAGGGUGUUUUCUCUUGCAUAUCUGAGGUGAAGUGUGUAUUCUGUGUGCUCUUAGCAAUUGGCAGUCCUCUUGCUUAGGUUUACAGGUGUAUGUGAAAAUAGACCUGAGUCUUUUCAAAGUUAGAUCAUUUUUCUGAUUUCAUCUUUAACUUUUGGCAAUACAUUUGUUUUGAUAUCCACCCUACUUGGUAGAGUGUAAGUACUUCCUUACAAUGUUCUAAUGUAAAACAGUGCAUAGGAGACCUUUCUGUCCUUGGUUGCCCAAAAUCUUUUUCAUUUCUACUAAAUUCAGAAAUACAUAUUUUUACUAGCUUAUGAAAGUUUGGAAAAUAGCUUGACAUCCUUUUGGAUAAUGAAGUGAUUAGUUCAUAUAUUGAAGUAUAUAAAAUAACUAGGAAGUAAAUUCAAGACUGAAGGAAUGGGAGAGCUUGUGUGAGUUUUGGUUGUAUCAGUCCAGAAUAUGUAAUUUUCCAUUUCCCUGAAAAAGACUUCAGAGGAAAUUUAUUUUCCCCACUAUACGCUCCAGAAUGUCUUUAGGUGAAAUGAGAGGGCUUGGGCUCUUCUGAUUCUAGACGUAGCUAUCAGAGUUUGCUUAAUGAAAUAUGGGUCUACUCACAAAUAAAGCAAUUUAAUGGUUUCGAAAGAGUAGGCAACUUGUGGUUUCAUUACCAUUUCUGUUCAUUUGAGAAAAAUCAUAAAAUUACAGAAAAGGAAACAUUCAUUUCAAAAAUAAGCUUUGAAUUUAGAUGGUAAGGCAUAUAUGUUUUAUUUCACAUGACUUCAGGGUAGAAGUCAAAUGAAACAUUUCUAUGGAAACUUACCCUUUAAGAAACCAGUAUAUGCAAAGAAUGAUUGAUACCCCCUGAGGGUGUGCCAUAUAAUAGGUGACUAAUAACAUACAGGAUUUAAUUCUUAGAAGAAUUAAGAACAGAUAUCACCCAUUACAUUGACCUACAUUUUAAAGUGAACAAUAGAAACCUCUCUCAGAAUUAGUAUCUGCCUAUUAAUGUAAUCAGUGUAGCCUUCUCAACAUAAAAAUGUCCUUAUUCUAGAACAUGGAAGUGUACGGCAAAUGCAACGGUUGAAAGCACUGAAAAAUAUUUGUAAAACAUCUGUAGUGCUCACAUUAUGAACUUUAAAUGUAAUACUUUGAAAACCAUCUUCAUAAUUUUUUUGUUCUAACAGCUUCCUUUUUAAGAAAACAUUUUAAAACAUUUUAAAAUGGAACUUAAUGUGCAAAAUAAGUUGUGUAAAAUACCAGUAUUUGGGUGGUGGAGGAUAUUGGUAUAUUAUAUUGACCUGGGUUGAUGACUACUGGACUAUUUUAAGAUACCUACUUCCAAAACUUAUUUUAUUCUAGAGGACCACUAAAAAUCAGAAUUACAGCAAUCAUUUUAAUUUUUCUACUUUCCUUGUUAAGGUCUUCUGCUUACCCAAAGAAUAGUGUAUAUCUUAACAUGACUUUUAAAGGGGUAUCUUGAUCCCCAUCACAGAUUUUUAUCUAUGAAUAGAAGGAUUGAAACCCUAUUUGAUCCCUAGCUCUUUGCUGAAAAGUGCAUAAACAGGAAUCCUGAAUUUAUUAUAUAGACCUCCUCGCAUUAUAUAAUCGAAGCAAAGGGAAACCAGCGAUGGAGUAGAGGUACGUAGACUAAAGAGAUGCUUGCAAAUGAUGGUACCUAGGGAUAGUCACAUUUUCUUGUUGCCAAACUCAGACAAUAUAAUCACAAGUCCAGAGAAGAGCUAGUUAAUUUUAAAUUCCCCGAGGUCCUUUUACUGAGAUGGAAAAGCACAAACAGUCAAGGAAAACCAAAGAGGGAGGGGUGAGGGAAGGGGAAAGUGCAUAAAGCACUUAAAGAUUUUUUAAAAGUAGGUAUGAUAGAUAAGCCACAAGAAGUUUUUAAGACUACUAAUAACCAUAAUUCUAUUUUAAUCAGCUAUUUAGCUGGUACCUACUGCUAUAUCACCUAGUGUGACAUUUCGGAAUUAAUGGAACAAUGAAGGAAGCUGUACACUGGAGGUUCCAGGUGGUCAUGGAAGGUUUCCAGUUUAUGCAAACUUCUGUGAAAAUGAGCUUUGUUAUUGGUGAAGACAUUGGAAAUUUUACCAGCCAAGACAGAGUUUCUCUCUUAUUCAGGGUAAGAUGUAAUUGCAGUGUGCUAGCGCUGGAAGGGACCUGUUUUACAUGUUAUGUAUGUUACACGUCAGCCCUCCAUGUCCUCCAGUUCUGCAUCCUUGGAUUCAACCAACUGUGGGUUGAAAAUACUGGAGGUAAAAAGACAAAAAAUAACAAUGAAGCAACAACAACAAAAAUACACAGUAUAAUAAUUAUAUUUACAUAGCAUUUAUUUUGUAUUAGACAUUAUAAGUAAUCUAGAGAUGAUUUAAAGUAUAUGGGAGAAUGUAUGUAGAUUAUAUGGAAAUAUGAGGGUAUUUUAUUUAAAGGGACUUGGGCCUGUGGAUACCAAGGAAUAACUAAGGUAAAACUGAGCAUAAGUGGCCUGUCCACAUUUUGUUAAAUAUCAGAUUAUUGAUUAGUGAUCAUCAACAUUUUCCCGCAUUCAUGCAGUGUGGCCUCUGAAAACAUGGUUGAACAUCCUAUGGAAUUUUUUUUUUUUUUGGAGAUGGAGUCUCACUCUGUCACCUAGGCUAGAGUGCAAUGGCGCGAUCUUGGCUUACUGCAACCUCCGCCUGCCCCACCUCAGGUUCAAGUGAUUGUCCUGCCUCAGCCUCCUGAGUAAUUUUUGUAUUUUUAGACGAGACAGGGUUUCACCCUGUUGGCCAGGCUGGUCUCAAACUCCUAACCUCAGGUGAUCCAACUGCCUCGGCCUCCCAAAGUGCUGGGAUUACAGGUAUGAGCCACCGUGCCCGGCAGAAUUUUUUAACUAUUUGGUUACGACUAAUUUGAAUAAUGUAGACUGCAUGCAGCUUUGAUUUGUGCCACUAAGAGUGGGCAAACUGUUUUCCUUUUUGUGAAUCAGUAAAAAUUUUCCCUCAACAUGUGUUUGACAGUUGUCAUUCACUGCUAAGUUAAGGCAUUUGGUAAACCACACAGCCUCUGAAUCCUUCCUAGCGACAGCCACAAGAAAAGGUGGGCAUGGGAGGGAAAAUGCUCUUGUGAAUUGAACUGGAGGCAAGCUCCACUUUUCUUUAGAAAAAGAUGUAGAUCAAAAUAACUAAUAUUUUCUUCCUUGCUCGAUUUCUGUGCCUUCCAUGGUACAUCAAAAUAAUAGGACCAGUAAUGGCCACAAUCCUGUUGACUGCUGGUAUCUUCCCCCCAAUAUUUCUUUAAGCAUUUCUUAAGCAUCUAGCUUGUGUUUUGUUAUAUUUAACAGAUUUUCUUAAAGUAUUGUACGAAUUAAAACCAGAAAUAACUUCAUUUUCCUAGAAAGGGAUAAUUUCUCCCGGAGAAUAAAUCCUGAGGAUUUAGUUAGAUGCUGUGGGUAUUGUAUUUUAAAUAAUAUUUUAAUGGGAGCAGCUGAUUGACUUUCAAAUGGAUUGUUUACAUUAAUAGUAAUUCUGCAGUUGUUUUUCUAUUGCAUCAGUCUGCCAGACAAGUUCCAUGUGCAUAUUUAAAUUCAGAACUAAUUAUACUUAAAAAUUUAAACCCUGCAUACUUCCCCAAAAAUGUUUAGGGCAGUUAAAAACAACUCUUUUGGAAGAUGACUCACAUUUUAAGAAAUGAGAGAACACUGUCAAAUGAUGAAUGCAUUUAAAAAAUAAUUUGCAAAGUGAUAAAAUCCCUUAGUUUUAAAUCUUACAAUGACAUUAACUCUUACAAGAACUCAGUAAGUAUUUGCUGUUUUUUAAUGGGAUCGUAAUAAGGUUGAGGUUUUUGUUAAGGGACGUUUACUUAUCAUUAAACUCUAUACUUAUUACUACAAGGAAACUCUUUCCAAGUACAUUAAACACUAGGUUUUAUAAUUCUUUGCCAUACUGCCAAUAAAUUCUGUUCACAUUUUAAGGAUGACAAGUUCACUAUAUGUAACACGUAAGAAUGCUAUCCUGGCAGUAGACACAGGGCCAGAAUAAACUGGCAAGUUUUCAUUCCAUACAAGUGUGGGAAAAAAAUGACUACAACUUAAACUUUAUUUACUUGAUUGAGAGCUUAUUGCACAUGAAAUGUUUUAUGUGGUUGAUCUUAACUUCGUUUACAUUGACUUCUUUUCUAUGCUCAAGAUUAUUCAAUUGCUGCUGCUGCCGUUGUGUUUUCUUUCAGGAUCGAGGUGGGUACCUUCAUAUAAUAUCUUCUUUUUAAUUUCUUCUCUGGCAAUUCUUUCCUGGAUUCUUUGCUUUGCAUAAUUAUACCUACAAUGAAACCUUGGAAGAAAAGAAUAUGAAUAAAUUGUUAAUAUAAAGUCCUACAGAAAUUAAUUUAUGAAAUUUCUCUAAAUCACACAAAACUUAAAUACAGAUGACUACUACCCUGAGACUGAAAAAUAUGUUCUAAUUUAUAGUGCUAUUUUUGGGCAGUUUUGGUGUCAGAAUACCUAUCAACACAUUCUUUUUUUAUUAGGAAAAAAAGGAUGUCUACAUAACAAUUUGUAAAGUGAUAAAAUCCAUUAGUUUUUAAGUCUUCUGAUAGCAUUGGCUAUUAUAAGAAACAAGUAUUUGCUCUCGUUUUUAACGGGAUAAUAAUGCUAUGUCUACAUAAAAUGAUUUCUAUCACCUUAAAUAGCUCACUGUAGAAAUUCAUGUAUAAAUGGAACCAUAUAGUACAUACAUAUCAUACUCUUAGGUCUGGCAAAUAUUUGAGGUUCAUCCAUAUUUUAUAUUCACUCAUCAGUAGUUGUAAACACAUUCUUAAAGUAGCAUUUUCAGAUAUGAAUAAGCAGGGAUGAAAUAAGUAUUAGGGUAAGGGAAAUGGCUGAGGCUUUCCUAAGUGAAGUGUAAAAACCACAGCUUUCUUUUUAAUGGGAUGUCUAAUAUGCAUUUAUCUGUUCAAGCAUUUUAAGACAGAUUUCCAUGAAAAUGUCCUGAAAAAUCAAGAUUCUUCAUUGAGGGUGAGGAUCUCCCAAUGGGAGACUGCUCUGAAAAGAGCAUGUGCUUUUUGAAUUAGAUAACCUACUAUAAUCAUGGAUGUUCUUGAAUACUUAGCAAACAUACCAGCAUCCCAAAGUCACCAAGAUAAACCCUCCUACUCCAACAUCACAUGAUCUUCUAAUUCUACCUGUCAAAAAUAAGCAUAACAAUCAAUUAGAAUAUAAUUACAUGUUAUAUACAUUACUCCAUCUAGAAAAAAAUAGUUCAUUACGUAGAGAAAUGCUUUUUUAGUACAUAGAGAAAUAAAAAACACAGAUACUCACUAGUGAACAAAAAAUGUCCAAAGCCAGCCACAGCAGAUCCUAAUGAACCAUACAAUAUUGAAUGCCGGGCGCAGGGAGUAUUUUCAACAUCUAAAAAUCCUAGGAGCUUAACGGACUAGAAUGAAAAAAAAGAACCUAGAUUGAGUAAGAAAAGUAUUUCAUUUUGGGGUGCUUUGGCAAAAAUGACAAUACACCAUUUCUUUUGUUGUAGUUGAGGGUUUAAACUAGAGUAUGUGCCACAUGACAACCUAAAUCAGCUUGCAUUGUCUUUGUCCAGCUUUGGUAUGCAGUCUGAAUCUUUAAAUCCGAAAACCUUACAAAUUGGACCGGAAAACCCUUAAGCAGUAGGGUAACUUGGAGCUGUAUCUUAAUUUGCUAAUCAACUGACUUGGAAAUAGGAGAAUUCAUUUUAUGAGCUCUUUAAAUGAGUUUAUUUGGGAAUAUGCCUAUCAUUGGAAUUGAAAGCAGCAUAGCUUGCUUCAGUAACUCCAACAAUUUGGGAAGCAGAAAUGGAAAAAGUAAUUUGAGUCAUGUUUGCUUAUGUAGUGCCGUUUAAAAUUCCCCUAGUAAUUACCUUUCAUAUUUUAUUAACUAGGUUAACAUCAACUGUGGUUGUAAGAGUAAAUGUUUCACCUUAAGAUAAACAUGGGCAAUAUAUUAAACUCUAGUCUGUUUUCUUGCCUGUGAAGUGAGGCUGCACUUGAUUAUAUUUGAUUCUUUGUUCGUAAUACAUGGGAACGACAGCUAAGUGUGGUGAAAAACGCGGGGAUCCAAAGAGCUGGAUUUUUAUCUCAGAUCUGCCGCUAACUUUUGUAUCCUAUAGGCUACUUUUAUUUCUAUGGUCUCAAUCUAUAACAUGAAUGGGUUGGGUUAAAUGACUGAAGUUCCUUCAAGUGCUAAAAUUCCUUUUCUACAGUCUUCAUUGGAUUUAUGUAUUUCUUAUUCCUAAUAUGUUAAACUGGGAUGUCUGUCACUCUAGGGCGGCAAGACAGACAUUUAAAAGUAACAGUCACACUGCUGAACUGGCAUUUCUGUUAACACAAAAGUUUAGAAAACUCACGGUAACUGUUACUUGAUUUAAGUGUAUAUAAAAUUUUCAGUAAGGCUGCUUUUAAAAGGAACCACUGUCCAUUUAAAGGUUUCAUAGUUAUCUUCAAUGGGUUAGUAUUGUUUGGGGCAGGACAUUAAACUAGAAGGGAUUCUAUAGGAUGAGGUGAUACCUAGAAGGUAAUAUAUUGUAAGGCAAAAGAGAUUAGAAGAAAUGGGGAAAGGAUAGUAAAAGGCAAGUCAGAUUAAAGGUUGAAACAUGAAGAUAUUCUCAAUUGUAUUUCUGCUUAUGUUUGCUUUUUUGGCUCAAGCAUCUGUUGGAAGAGACAAAAUGUGACUUGGUUCAUAAUAAAGCAAAAAUUAUUUACUCUCGGA